rnacentral:rRNA from 1 species
AUGAAGUACGUGAGGGAGUUGAGGGAAUGCAAACCUAAACAAGCCAAGGCGGUUCCUGUUCCUCGACGCCAAGGACAGUCCAGGUGGGUUCCUCCACCCGUUGGAACGGCAAAGAUCAGGGUCGACGGGGCUGUCUCUCGGGAUCUGAAUGAAGGCACAUUUAGCGCUGUCUGCAGAGAUUCAACAGGAACCUUCCUGGGGGCUUCAGUCAUAAGAAGCAGGGGAGUUUCUGAUCCAGCCACGAUGGAAGCUCUAGCUUGUCAAGAAGCCCUGGCAUUGUCCAUGGAUCACGCCUUACAACAGGUGGUGGUCGCGUCGGACUGUCAGGGUGUGAUCCAAGAUAUCAAGAAUAGCACAGGCGGUGUUUAUGCGAGUAUCAACAAGGAGAUAGCAGAAACGUCUAGUAACUUUCAACAAUGUUCCUUCAUCUUUGAAGGACGAGAGUCUAAUAUCGAGGCACAUAGCCUUGCUAAACAUGCUUUUGGUUAG